GCUCGCAGGAACACCCGCUUUUCAAAAUUACUAUCCUGUAGGCUCCCCCGUAUUUGCUCUUUUGUUUGUUUCUCGUUAAAUAUUACCCGAAUACUGAACAGGCACUCUACAGGUGCUAACGAAUGCUCUACAGAAACGACAAUUUCUUGUCAUUUUUCUCCUUGUCGUUGCUUUAAAGGGACAGUCGCAUUCUCCGAGGUCAAUUUCGAAAGUAAUGCGAAUUCUAAUUCCUUGCCGUCCACUGAAGUGGGCCAGAAAAUACCAUUUCGAUGCGCGGCUUACUUUUCGCGCACGAUGAAAAAGAAACCGGAAUACUUGCGCCCUCGCUCUCUAAAAGUGGGGGCAAACGUCACACGGAUAAGGCCAAUCAGCGCGCGCCCUGGGCAAAUGCGAGCCGCGCGCCUGUUUGGCGAUCGCGAAGCGAAGGCGAAGGGAGCAAACAUGGAGUCGGAAAACGAGAGUGAUGUUUCUCUGUCUGGGGGAGAUUCUGACGAACAUGUUAGCGGUAGCGGCGACGAGUUAAUGCUGGAUGAUGACCCAUACUCUACGGACCCAAUGCCUCUGGAACCCGCCGACCAUCCACGAGGUGUGGCUGCGGCUAACCCGCGGGAUGACAUUUUUAGGUGUCUGUGUGGAGUCUGCGACCCACAGGAGCCCGACGAGCGCCUGUGUUGCCAUUCUGUUGCCAGGGUGGUAGAAAUGUGCAACAGUGCCGCCGUGCAGUGCAUAACACAACACCCAUUACUCAGGAACAUCUGCCUCCGUAGGGAGCUUCUAGUGGUGUACGCGCCUCAAUUCUGUCGCUAUGAUCAACAUUUUAGGCGACUCAAUCCCCAGGACCACAGCUGCCUGAGGUUCACGGCAUACUCGUCAUUCACAAGAUGGGUCUGGGGAUACCUUGGUCCAAGGAACAGACGACAAGUUCCUGGUUGCGUUGUCCGAUCCAUCAGGAGGCAGUUCCCAUCUACGUCCUAUCAAGGCUAUCAGCGUUAGGACCAUCGAAACCAGGCUGUCUUGACAAGAGAGACAAGGUGGUGCAUACUGAUGGCUG